rnacentral:rRNA from 1 species
CUCAGAUUGAACGCUGGCGGAAUGCUUUACACAUGCAAGUCGAGCGGCAGCGCGGGGGCAACCCUGGCGGCGAGCGGCGAACGGGUGAGUAACAUAUCGGAACGUACCCCGUCGUGGGGGAUAACACAGCGAAAGCUGUGCUAAUACCGCAUACGACCUGAGGGUGAAAGCGGGGGAUCGCAAGACCUCGCGCGAUGGGAGCGGCCGAUAUCGGAUUAGCUUGUUGGUGAGGUAAAGGCUCACCAAGGCGACGAUCCGUAGCUGGUCUGAGAGGACGACCAGCCACACUGGAACUGAGACACGGUCCAGACUCCUACGGGAGGCAGCAGUGGGGAAUAUUGGACAAUGGGCGCAAGCCUGAUCCAGCAAUGCCGCGUGUGUGAAGAAGGCCUUCGGGUUGUAAAGCACUUUUAUCAGGAACGAAAAGCGUUGGAUUAAUACUCUGACGUGCUGACGGUACCUGAGGAAUAAGCACCGGCUAACUUCGUG